CCUCAUUAUACUCCACUGGCUUGGAAGGAUUUUAUAAAAUCAAGCCUAUCCCUCUUCCUUUGACAUAUGAUUUUGGUAAAUGAUCAUCAUAGCAGACAGUUGCUGCAAGAUGGUACCCCCAACUCCCAAAACAUUCGUCUGGGAGGAAGAAGUUCCCUUCCCCAUUUCUAUCCCCCGAAAGCUGUUCGUCUGAGCCCUCUAGGGCAGGCAGCCAUCGCCCAGUGCAGCAGAGCAGGGUGAGAAGUCCUUUUUAGGCAAGAUAUUAAAAGGAGUUGGCUGAGCAGAUCUAAAACCCUUGGUCAACAGGGCGGGGCCAGCCCCGGGGCAGAAGUAUUACUUCACAGUUGCAUCGGCUUCCUGUGGCUGCCAAUAGAGGCGGCAUCUGGCAGCCAGCCCACCGCAGAGAAGAGGGAACUCCGCAGAGAAGAAACUAGCAACGAGGCCCCAAAGGUGGAAGUGCAGCCUGAGAAACUUGAGCCGGCCUGGGACUGUGCCGGCCUUGCCACUCACUCUGCAGGGUGUGGCGUGCAGGACCCCUCCGGCUUCACAAGACUGAUAUGCCUCCUGUGACAGAGAAACGGAAGCCCAAAGAGGUGAAAUAACUUGCCCCAGGACGCACAAGCAGGAAACAGAGGAGCCAGGAUUCAAACCCCCUGUGUGGCCAUCCCUGGAGCCCAGACUCUGACCGCAGCCACUUCAGCUUUCAAGUGAAAAUCAAGAUGAUGAGCUACCAAGACAUGAGGACACUGGAGCGGCCCCAUGGAAAGGUCCAUGUGGUGAGGAACUGAAGCCUUCCACCAUCAGCCAUGUAAGGGAACCAACCUGGAAGGGGAUCCUCCAGUUUCAGUAAAGCCUUUAGAUGACUGCAACCGCAGAAACAUUUUGACUGCAACUUCAUAAGAGAUCCCAAGCCACAGCCACCUAGUCAAGCUGCUCCCAAAUUCCUGAUCACAGAAUCUGUAAGAUAAUAAAUACCUAUUGUUGCUUUAAGCCAGGAAGUUUUGGGGUAAUUUGUUACCUAGCAAUAGAAAAAGUGGUAGACAAGACAAACAUGGUCCCUUCCCUCAUUCUGGGAGCUGGUGAUAACCUAUUAUUGCACAAAUGUAGAAGCAACGUGAGUCAAAUCAUGCCAGCAAACCUGUACGAAUGUUAUAAUGUUCCAUCAACAUGGAAUGUGAAAAGGAGAUUUGUUUUAUUGUUAUAUUAGUGUGACCAGGAUAUCAAUUUGGAGACUGCUUUGUCACCCAAAGGGACAGCGUGUCUUCAUGACAUGAUCAUUGUAGAGAUGGUGGCAAAUGAUGGUGGGCUCUGGGGCUGUUAGAUCUAGUGGAUUCAGGUCAGAGAAAGUGCAAUGGCAAACCAACCCCCAUGCAAACCAUAGUAAAUGGAGAGAAGAGGCCAAGAGCCUCACCGAGAAAACUCGUCUACAUCACCCCAGCCUCCUACUAGGUCUUCCUGCCUCUAGUAUCGAUACUCUCCAGUGCAUCUCACAUGGGAAACCAGAAGAUUCUUCUUCAAUCGCUGCUUCAUUACGUAGCCUUCUCCUCUACACGCACACAAAUCUUAGCUAGGUUCCCACUCCUACAGGUAAAGUAUCUCAGCCUGGCAUUUACGGCUCUCCUCAGUCUGGCUCCAGCUCACAUUUUCAUGAUUCCCCUAUUUAUACCCCAUCUUUAGAUAAACUGAAAAUCCUGAAGUUCUCCCAAUGCGUCUUCAUUUUCAGGCUUCAAACCUUUUGUCAAGUCAUUCUCUCAACCUGGAAGCCCAUUCCACCCCUCAUCCACCUCACUGUAUGCUAGCUAUCCAACAAAGAUGUUCUUAAAUGCUUCUCCAUGAAAUAGUCUCUGAUCCCUUUAGCUCAUAGAGUAUUUCCCUCUUCUGGACGCAUCAUUAAUGGAAUUGGUAGGAUAUAAGUCCUUUUCUGUCUACACUAUAAUCACACACAUAUAUAUUACACACAUAUAUGUGUAGCUCAUCACCUCUACCAAGCUUCUUAUAAGCUUCAUCUUUGUAUCAACUUGGUCCUAAGCUUCCUCUUUUCACCCUCUCCUCUCUCCUUAAAUGAUCCAUGACAUAUAACUUCAUCCAUCAUCUAUAUACUAGAUGUCUCCAGCCCUGACCUCUUGUCUGUGUUACAGACCUCUACUUCUACCUGCUACGUAACAUACUCAUGGCUGUCUCAAGGCUCUUCACAGUCAUCAUGAUCAGUGGAAACUCAUAGUGCCCCCACCCAACUCAGGACUCCUCCAUGGUUCCUUUCUCAGUAAAUGCCAUCCAACACCCAACCAGCCAUCCAAUUCUGCAAGCCAGAAUCUAGGGGUCCUCUUUGAACUCUCCCAACUGUCAGCCUCUGUGUCUAAUCCAUCACUAGGUCUUAUUGAUCUUACCUUCUAAAUAGUAUUCAAAUCCCAAACUUUCCUCCAUCUCCACUGACACCCCCUGAAUCCAAGCUAUCAUCAGUCCUCACCUUGUCCACCAUCUUCUAUCUAGUAUCCUAACCAGCCUCCCCACAUCAACUCUAGCCUCACAACUCCAAUCCAUUCUAGGUCAUAUGAAUAGAAUGGCAUUUGAGUUUUAAAACUCAAAUCUGUCCAGGUCAUUGCUAAAGGUUUAAAGCCUUCAAUGACUUUCCAUUGUUCUUAAGACAAACAUCCAAAUCCUUAAUAUAAACUAACCACUGGACCCUCCAUCAUCUGGCCCAUUUACCUCUCCAGCCUAAUUUUGUGUUCAAUAUUUCAGUCACAGGGGACUACUUUCAGUUCCUCAAAAGUGCUCCGCUGUCUACAGCCUUUACAUGUGCUGUUUCUUCUCAUUCCAUCUACCACUUUUGCCUAAUAAAACUCCUGUUCAUCCUUCUUUUUUAUUAUUAUUUUUUUUUUAUUUUAGAAAGAGAAAAAGAGCAUACAAGUGGGGGAGAGGGGCAGAGAAAAAGAGAGAGAGAAUCUUUAAGCAGGCUCCACAAUCAGCUCAGUGCAGAGCUGGACUAGGGCUCAGCCACACAACCAUGAGAUCAAGACCUGAGAUGAAAUCGAGUCGGACGUUCAACCACCUCAGCCACCCAGGUGCCCCUCCUGUUCAUCCUUCUAAUCUUAGCUCAGACCUCAGCUCCUCAGAGAAACCACCCCAGCCAGAUCUGGUCCCUCAUUUACAUGUUCUCAUUGUUCCCUGUAUUUCCUUUAUUGUAUUUAUAUUGCUUAUAAUUACAUAUUUUUUUUUAUUAUUUGAGGGCAGAAAUCAUACUCGUUUUAUUCUUUUACAUUUUAUCUCCAGUACAUAAAGAGUAUAAGAGCUACUCAACCAAAUUUGCUUUAAAAACAUUAAAGGAAGAAAUGAAGGAAGGAAGUAAAAAAUUCAAGUAAUCACUGACAAAAUCUAGACAGACCAAAGUUCAUCAAAAUAUAUCUAUGGACAUAUGUAUUUCAUUGCCAAUAUCUUGAAUAUACAUUAAGUUUUCUUGAAACCUAAAUUUUCAUAUUUUUCUCUAUUUUAUAUUUGUAUCAAUUAGCAUUUUACAUGGCUGAAAAUAACUGACCGCAGUUAAACAAACAGAGUUUUCAUUUUUCUCUCCUAAUAGAAGGUUUGAAGUAGGGCUAAAACAACCGGUAAAAGUCGUCAGCAAGGGCGCCUGAGUAGCUCAGUCGGUUAAGCAUCCAACUUUGGCUAGGUCAUGAUCUCACGGUUGGUGGGUUUGAGCCCGACAGCUCAGAGACUGGAACCACCUUUGGAUUCUGUGUCUCCCUGUCUCUCUGCCCAUCUCCCGCUUGCUCUCUCUUUCUCUCUCUCUCUCUCUCUCUCUCUCUCUCUCAAAAAUAAAAAUAAAAAGAAGUCAGCAAAAUCACAGGCUCUUCUAACUUCUUUCUCUGCCACUCUUAGAGCCCAACUUUCUUCCUCAGCAUUAAAAGCUAGGCUGUUGCCCCUCCAAUAUGCUAUUCAUACUCCAGGCAGAAAAAGGGGAAAGAUAAAGGGCAAAAUGUGUGUGUCAACUGGACUCAUCUCUCUUUAUCAAGAAAACAAAAAAUGGCUUUCCUGGAAGCCCCACACAGGAAACUUUUACCUAUAUCUCAACCCCAGACUGGGGUUGUGGCCACUCUACCUACAAAUGAGUUGGGGAAGGUAUAUGUUCUUAAACAGACAUACUGUCUGACACACAACUGUAAGUAUAAUAAUGAGGAAUAAGGGGAUACUGGAGACAGGAAGUCCACCCAAGAGUGUCUGUCACACUACUGCCACAAACAAUCAGACUAACUGGAUUCCAAGGCUUGGACUCAAUCUCAGAAGCCUAGACGAAAGUGAUCUUUUUCAAGUUGAAAUUUUGAGAAAAGAAAUUCAGGCUCUGCAUAUAUGCUGCUAAGCUUGUAUGGAUGAAAAAUGAAAAAUUCUAUCAAAUACGUAGUUGUUUUAUCUAUGUAAUACUAAAUCUAUCUGCUUAACCGAACACCUGGAAUAAUCUUUCCUCCUUAAAAUGCUAUUCUUACCACUGUAUAUUCUUUUUUUGAGAGAGACACAGCAUGCACAAGUGGGAGAGGGAGAAAGAGAAUUGCCCUUGUAUGUUCUUAAUUAAAAAAUUAACUUUGAAGAAGUUAAGUCACUAUCAAAACUUAAGCCUGCAAUUAAAGCCUGCUGCCAUUAUGCAGUUUCAUUCACACCUUUCAUGCGGAUAUUUAGGUUCUGAGGGAGCAAAUGAGACUCUCCACACAUCCAUUAAAUGAAAAAUGUAGAAUAAGCAUGUAGCCAAUUCAGCUGUAGUUAAAACCUAAGAAAUCAGAAGGCUAAGUAAGAAGAAUGAAGAAUGCAAGGGAUUUAUAGGGGCACCUGGGCGGCUCAGUUGGCGAAGCAUCCAACUCUUGAUCUCGGCUCAGGUCAUGGUCUCAUGGUUCAUGAGACUGAGCUCUGCAUCAGGCUCUGCGCUGAUAGUGUGGAGCCUGCUUGGGAUUCUCUCUCUCCCUCUCUCUUUGCCCCUCCCCCACUUGCAUGUGCACAGUCUCUCUCAAAAUAAAUAAAUAAAUUUUAAAAAGAAAGAAUGCAAGGGAUUGAUAGAGUUAUUGAGCCCAUUCUAGACAGAGUUUAGAAUGAGAAAAGCAGAGUGAUCUGUGGGGAGAGGUUUCCUCAACAGGGAAAUGAUGUUUGGUAACUCAGACGCAAGGACAGAUGAAGUAUGGAACAUAAGCAACAAGAAUAUAACAAACAGGAUAUGCUUACUAUGUGAAGGAAUCUCUUUUUCAGUUAGUAUCACUGCCUUUAAUUAGUUCAAUUCAACAAACAUUUAUUGACCAUCACCUAUGUGCCAGAAAUUCUGGGAAAGGCUGGUAUUCUUCCUUGCCCUGUUGGGCAAGAAAAAAAAUAUUAUUGCUAGAUGGAAUUUUGGAGGGCAGAUAUUUCUAAUUUCCCACUUUAAAGAUAAGAAUAUUGGGACACCUGGGUGGCUCAGUCAGUCGAGUGUCAGACUCAACUGUGGCUCAGGUCACGAUCUCACUGGUUAGGAGAUCAAGCCCUGAGUCGGGCCCGAAGUGACAGCAUGGAGCCUGCUUGGGAUUCUUUCUCCCUCUCUCUCCAUCCCGUCCUUACUUGCAUGUGUACAUGCACAUGCUCUCUCUCUCAAAAUAAAUAGAUAAAUAAGGUUUUUUUUUAAUAAUCAAAAAUAAAUUAAAUCAAAUUAAAUUAAAUUAAAUAACCAAAUGGGGGCUCCUGGAUGGUUCAGUCAGUUGAGUGUCCAACUUUGGCUCAGGUCAUGAUCUCAUGGUUCAUGAGUUCAAGCCCCAUAUGGGGCUCGCUGCUGUCAGCACAUAGCCUGCUUUGGAUCCUCUGUCCCCCUCCCUCUCUGCCCUUCCCCUGCUCAUGCUCUCUCUCAAAAAUAAAUAAACAUUAAAAAUAAAAUAAAAUAAAAUAAAAUAAAAUAAAAUAAAACAAAACAAAACAAAACAAAACAAAUAUAAGAAUACUAAAGUCCAGGGGCAGCUGGGUGCCUCACCCUACUUCAGCUCAUACUGUCGAAGAUCGUUGGUUCAAGCCAUGCAUCAGGCUCUGUGCUUUCUGCGCAGAGCCCACUUCAGAUCCUCUGUCUCCCUCUCUCUCUGCAACUCCCUCAACUAGCUCUCUCUCUCUCUCAAAAAUAAAUAAACAUUUAAAAAAAGAAUAUGAGGGUCCAGAAAAAUUAAAUGACUCCCCAUCAUCACCAUUUAGUCAACAGAAAGCCACGGCUAAAUCUAGGGUCUUCAGAGUCUCACCCAAACAAAAUCCUUAAGACCUAGAGAAAGGCAAUCUUCAUGUCAGGGCAACUUCUCACUUUCAGAGACAAUGGGGUUUUGUUGUUGCUACUGUUUUGUUUCUUUCUUACAAAUAAUUUACCACUUUCAAAGGCAUGCCAUUCAAAACUUCUCCCUCAUUCUCAAAGUUGCCAGGCUAUUUUUCUUCAUCGUCAUCAAGCAUAUUCAGCAAGCUUGGGUGAACCUACCCAAUGCUGACCACACUUCUCUCCCCCCUUCCUUCUCUCCCACACCACUUCCUCUGUCUUCCCUCCCUACCCUUCAGCACCUCCAUGCACACCCGUUAGGUUGAUCUACACUUGUUAAUUAGUGGUUUCAAGAUGCUCUGAUGUUAUAUCAGAGGCUAUGUCUCCCAACUACUUUUGAGAGCUCCAGAAAAACAAACUCAAGGUUUGGAAUGAGAAGAACCUGGAUUACAACUGGAGCUCUGCCAUUUACUGUGUAGCCUUUGGUAAACUGUCUAACAUCAUUAAGCCUCAGGCUCUUUGUGUGUUUAAUGAGGAAAACCAUACCUAAUUCAUAAGGAUGAUGCAAGUAUUUCAUGAGAUAAUGCCCCACAAGCACUGAAUGGUAUGAAGAUACACACUGGUAUAAAAUCAGGGCUCAAUACAUGUUAUCACUUUUUUAUUUGUUCCCACCCUCCCCUCUCUCCAAGGAAUGCCUAACCUGUGUCAUUGGUCAGACUUAGGUUCAAAUCUUAGCUCUCUCACUGACCAGCUAUACAACAGUGAGUGAUUCUCAUGACCUCUCUGAGCCUCCUAGAACAAAGUCUGGCUUGGUGGGCCAUAUCCAAUAUUUUCUGACUGAAUAAGCUACAGAUUCCUUAUAAAUAACACAGAGAUAAUAAGCCUCACCUCACAUGAUUGUUGGAUGAGCUAAAUGAGAUCAUGUAAAGCAAAGUAUCUGCCAUGUUCCCUUCUUCAGCUUAAUUGAUGAACUGAUUACCUUGGAAGGGGAUGGAUUCACUGGAUGCUAGAUCAAGAGUCUUUAAUUCACGUGAUCUAUUAUUAUUUACCUAUAUUUCUUUAUUUGUUUCCCUCAAUAGUUCUUGGGGGAGGGUAUGGUAAGGACACAUAAUACCUCUCUUCAUCUGAAUUGUUGGUCAACUGAGAAAUAAGACAAAGGACAAUCAGAUAAGGUUCAAAGUAUCCCCUCUAUGAAGCCGAUAUGGAAACUGGAUUUAUGUGAAGCAAGAGGCCCCCUUGCACCGAACCUGUUAGGCUGCCUUACCUACUCAGGAGCACUGGACCACCAUGGGCCUCCCCACCCUCACCCCAGAGUGGAGACCUGCUCCUGGAGGAGUAGAUCAAAGUAUAUAGUCUCUACAGGCAGAUUGCAACCCAAAGAAAGAAUGAGAGAAAGAAGAUAUGCCCUCGCAGGCUCCUUUCCUCUCCCAUUCAAGUAACUCACUCCAUCUCCCCAGGGGAGGAGUGAAAGUGGGGCAGAGGCCAAGAGUAUUUGGGGAAAACCUCUUGUCCUGGAAAUAAAAAGUCAGCAAGAAGCAUUCCAGGCAUCUGCCACCUAACAAACUCUAUAUGCAAAAUGGGUUGCAUAGGCCUCCUCAGUCCCUCUGCCCUACCGCAAGAAUUCGAGGGUACCUGGAAUAGAGGUGAAGAGCCCAGCCUGGAGGCAGGCUGCCUAGUUUUGAAUCCAGGCUCUGUCACUUACUAGUUCUGUUUCCUCUAGCAAGUUAUGUACUCUUCCUGGGCCUCCAUCUGGUCAUCUAUAAAGUGCAGGAAUUGACAGGAUGGCUGUGAGGAUUAGAUGAAAGGUCUAUGAAGCGCCCCAAACACGAAGGGAUAAGAGCAGAACAAGUGAAGUUAUUAUUACUGGUGAGUUUCUUAUAACAACUGUAGGCUCCUUAGAGUAAAAGGUGAAAUAAAAUACGAUGCCGCUCAAGAACUGCAAGCCAACUAUCGAAUAGAUCUCCCACAAACCCAAAGCAAAAAAUAAUUACAGUCAACUCCCAAUCAUACUUGUGAUCUUACGACCAUGAAAACCAUCUCCCAGUGACAUUGCCUCCUGCCCCAACUUCCCUCUUCAUUCUGUUAAACCAAAGUCUCUUUGAUCCCUUCCAAAUUGAAUUACACACAACUUUCUUGUCUUAGUCCUUUUAAAUUACAGUCCUCCCUUAUGGACAUCUGUGAGGAGACUGUCAAAGAGAAAAAUCCUAUGAGAUUUUGUAUAUUCUUAGGUCAGAGUUCUGGCUGAGGUUGGCAGAGAUAAAAGGUGUUGGUUUGGGGUUUGUGACGUAAGUGUGAGUCGUAGUUGCACUAAAAAAGAGUGGUCAGUUAGCUGCACUAGCCAAGAAGGAUUCCUGGGAAUCAGUCAUACACGAGGAGGGCAGUGGGUAUUCAAGGAAGGAAAGCUGAGAAAGAUUCUAAAUUGGAAGAGACUGGAAAUAUUUUACAGAAGUCUGAAAUUUGUGUGGUGGGUGCUCUGGUCAGGACAAAGACCACAAAGCUGACUGAAUAGAUCUCUUCUCCUAAAACAGAAAAGCAUACGAUGGUGGUUAUAUGUGUAGUUUUGGAGUCAAAUAGACCAGGGUUUAAGCCCCAUUUUUACCCACUUCUUUGUUACAUGACCUUGAGUAACUAACUCAAAUAUCAGUGUCCCUAUGUAUAAAACUGAGAUAAUAGCACCCACCUUAGGAGACUAUGAAGAGAAUUAAAUAAAAGCAACGUAUAUAAAAUUCUCAGUACAGGGCCCUGCACAUAUCUGUGUCCACUAAAGUUGUUAAUACUAUCAUACACAAUAGGAAAAAACAGGUAAGGGGCUAAUAUCCAAAAUAUAUAAAGAACUCCUACAACUCAGUAACAAAGAGAAAAUCAAUUUAAAAAUAGACAGGGGAACUAAAUAAGCUUUUUUCCCAAAGAAGACAUCCAAAUGCCCAAUAACUGCUUGAAAAAUGCUCACCAUCACUAAUAUUCAGGGAAAUGUAAAUCAAAACCAGCAUGAGAGAUCACGUCACGCCUGUCAGAAAGGUUAUCAUCAAGGAGACAAGAGAUAACAAGUGUUGGCGAGGAUGUGGAGAAAAGGAAGCCUUGCGCAUGGUUUGUGGGAACAUAACUUGGUAACAGCCACUGUGGAAAACAGGAUGGAGGUUCCUCAAAAAAUUAAAAAUAGAACUACUAUGUGAUCUAGCAAUUCCACUUCUGGGUGUAUAGCCAAAGGAAACAAAAAUGGUAUUGAAGAGUUACACGCAGUGCUAUUCACAAUAGCCAACGUAUGGAAAUAGCCCAAGUAUCUGCCAGAAGAUGAAUGGAUAAAGAAGAUGUGGUGCCUAUACACACUGGAAUAUUAUUCAGCCAUGAGAAAGAAGGAACUCCUGCCAUUUGUGACAAUAUGGCUGCACCUUGAGGACACUGUGAGGUAAGUCAGAAAUACUGUAUGGUAUCACAUGUCUGUGGAAUUUAAACGAGCCACGCUCAUGAAAACAGAGUAUAGAGUGGUUGUGACCAGGGCCUGAGGGAUGGGGAAAUAGUUAAGAUGUUGUUUAAGGGUACAAACCUGCAGCUAGUAAAUUAGUCCUGGAGAUCUAAUGUACAGUAUGGUGAUUAUAGAGAACAGUACUGUAUUAGAAGUAUCACACUUGCUAAGAGACUAGAUCUUUUUUAAAAGUUUAUUUUUUUGUUUAUUUAUUUAUUUUGAGAGAGAGAGAGAGAGAGUGCGUGUGUGUGUGUGUGUGUAUGCAAGUGAGCAAGGAAGGGGCAGAGAGAGAGACAGAAUCCCAAGCAGGCUUCCCAUUGUCAGCACGGAGCCCCACAUGGCCUGAUCCCGGGAACUGUGAGAUCAUGACCUGAGCUGAAAUCAAGAGUCAGGUUGAUUAACCAACUGAGUCACCCAGGUGCUCUCCUAAGAGACUGGAUCUUAAUUAUUCUCACCACAAAAAAAAUAAUAAUUAUAUGAUAUCAUAGAGGUUUUAGCUAACACUACAAUGGCAAAUAUAUUGCAAUAUAUAAAUAUAUCAGAUUAACAUGUAUAUCUUAAAUUUAUACAAUGUUACAUAUAUAUCAAUUAAAUCUCAAGUUUUUAAAUGGAAAACCUCUGGGUUAAUUCAUAGACAGUUUUGUAAUUAUUAUUUUCUUCAUCAUUAUGAUGAGAUUUUCCACUUAACUUUAGAAAUUAAAUAUAAGAGGGGAGUCUGGGUGGCUCAGUCAGUUAAGCAUCUGACUUCAGCUCAGGUCAUGAUCUCAUGGUUUGUGGGUUCAAGCCCCACAUCGGGCUCUGUGCUAACAGCCCAGAGCCUGGAGCCUGCUUCAGAUUCUGUGUCUCCCUCUCUCUCUGCCCCACCGCCACUUGCACUCUGUCUCUCUCUGUCUCAAAAAUGAAUAAACACUUAAAAAAUUAAAAAGAAAGAAAGAAAGGAAGGAAGAAAGAAAGAAGGGAAGAAAGAAAGUGUAAGAAAUGAACCAAGGGGCUCCUGGGUGGCUCAGUCAGUUGAGUCUUGAUUUCAGGCCAGGUCAUGAUGCCAGGGUAUGAGAUCGAGCCCUGCAUCCAUCUCCAUGCUGAACAUGAACCCUGCUUAAGAUUCUCUCUCUCUCCUUCUGCCCCUCUCCUUUGCUCAAGCGCUCUGUCUCUUGCUCUAAAAUUAAAAAUUAAAAGAAAAAGAAAUGAACCAAUAAUUGAAAUUAUUACCAAUUCUUUCCAUUAUUUCCAGUUACAUGCUGGCAGGAAGCUUCUUGUUUUCUUUUUUGCAAGUAAUCUCUACCUCUGACAUGGGGCUCAAACUCAGGACCCUGAGAUCCAGAAUCACAUGCUCUACUGACAGCCAGCCAGGCAUCCCUGGCAGGAAGUUUCUUAAAUCACAAUAUAUACCCUAUAAAUCUUAUGCUUUUAACCACUAUGCAUUUUUCCUAUAUUGAACCAAUACUUGCAUUCUUACUGCCAUCAAAACCUCAACGCCUUUGGGUGAUAAUCAUAUGUCAAUGGAGGUUCAUCAAUUCUAACAAAUGGACCACUCGGGUGGGGGAUGUUGAUACUGAGGGAAACCAUGUGUGUGUGGGGGCAGAAGGUAUACAUAUGGGAAGUCUCUGUACCUUCAGUUCAAUUUUGCUGUGAACCUAAAACUGCUCUAAGAAGUAAUGUCUAUUCAAAAACAAAAAAAAAAAGGGGCACCUGGGUAGCUCAGUCGGUUAAGUGAUGACUCUUGAUUUCAGCUCAGGUCAUGAUCUCACAGUUGGUGGGUUCGAGCCCUGAGCCAGUCCGGCUCUGUUCUGAUAGCAUAGAGCCUGCCUGGGAUUCUCUCCCUCUCUCUCUCUGCCCCUCCUUGGCUCACAAGCGUGUGCUUGCUCUCUCUCUCACUCUCUCUCUCUAAAUAAAUAUUUUUAAAAAAGAAAAACAAGAACAAAAACCUGAAGUUGUUUCAAAUUCCAUCAAGUGAGUCAAUGGGAGACAUGCCCAGGACAAAUCUCCUGAAAUCUCUUAAAACUUCAAUUUGGCACAACAGUUUUAACUCUCCCUUCCCAUUCUUUUCUCAACUCUACCAACAGGGCCACCUUGGGCUUAUGUGAUGCCUCUGUGGGUCUGCAGUGGGAAGGAUGGGAGAAGAAGAAGGCACCCUUCUUUAGGGAUGUAUAGCCUCAGGCCAGAGUCUCAUCUUGGCAAGUGGGGCCCGGGCUGGAUUCAGCUCCAACUGGCCUCCUCAACCAAGUGUCUUUGUGCAGGACACUAACUGCAUAACAGUACACAGCAGCCCUAUUUAGCCAUUGGAAUAAUUUUGAAUUCUGUAUCUUAUCCUUCCUCUGCCCAAUCAGAAAUGAAAGCAGUAUUUCUUCGGGUAGUCAUGAGCAGAGGAAAAGAAAAAAGUAAAUGAGGGUCCCGCAGAAAAGACUGAACAGUGCCAUUAACUCUUGAGAACCCUUAGCAUCAAGAUGCUUCAUCUUAACGUUGGAGGACAUGGACUUGACUCUGCUCCACAAAAGCAAAGGAAGGACAGUAUUUUUUUUUCUCACUAUUAUUUUCCCAGCCCUCAAAACAGUGCUUGGUAAAUAAAAAAGGAUUCAAUAAAUA